rnacentral:rRNA from 1 species
CAUCAUAAUUUUUAUGGAGAGUUUGAUCCUGGCUCAGGAUGAACGCUGGCGGCGUGCCUAAUACAUGCAAGUCGAGCGAACGGACGAGAAGCUUGCUUCUCUGAUGUUAGCGGCGGACGGGUGAGUAACACGUGGAUAACCUACCUAUAAGACUGGGAUAACUUCGGGAAACCGGAGCUAAUACCGGAUAAUAUUUUGAACCGCAUGGUUCAAAAGUGAAAGACGGUCUUGCUGUCACUUAUAGAUGGAUCCGCGCUGCAUUAGCUAGUUGGUAAGGUAACGGCUUACCAAGGCAACGAUGCAUAGCCGACCUGAGAGGGUGAUCGGCCACACUGGAACUGAGACACGGUCCAGACUCCUACGGGAGGCAGCAGUAGGGAAUCUUCCGCAAUGGGCGAAAGCCUGACGGAGCAACGCCGCGUGAGUGAUGAAGGUCUUCGGAUCGUAAAACUCUGUUAUUAGGGAAGAACAUAUGUGUAAGUAACUGUGCACAUCUUGACGGUACCUAAUCAGAAAGCCACGGCUAACUACGUGCCAGCAGCCGCGGUAAUACGUAGGUGGCAAGCGUUAUCCGGAAUUAUUGGGCGUAAAGCGCGCGUAGGCGGUUUUUUAAGUCUGAUGUGAAAGCCCACGGCUCAACCGUGGAGGGUCAUUGGAAACUGGAAAACUUGAGUGCAGAAGAGGAAAGUGGAAUUCCAUGUGUAGCGGUGAAAUGCGCAGAGAUAUGGAGGAACACCAGUGGCGAAGGCGACUUUCUGGUCUGUAACUGACGCUGAUGUGCGAAAGCGUGGGGAUCAAACAGGAUUAGAUACCCUGGUAGUCCACGCCGUAAACGAUGAGUGCUAAGUGUUAGGGGGUUUCCGCCCUUAGUGCUGCAGCUAACGCAUUAAGCACUCCGCCUGGGGAGUACGACCGCAAGGUUGAAACUCAAAGGAAUUGACGGGGACCCGCACAAGCGGUGGAGCAUGUGGUUUAAUUCGAAGCAACGCGAAGAACCUUACCAAAUCUUGACAUCCUUUGACAACUCUAGAGAUAGAGCUUUCCCCUUCGGGGGACAAAGUGACAGGUGGUGCAUGGUUGUCGUCAGCUCGUGUCGUGAGAUGUUGGGUUAAGUCCCGCAACGAGCGCAACCCUUAAGCUUAGUUGCCAUCAUUAAGUUGGGCACUCUAAGUUGACUGCCGGUGACAAACCGGAGGAAGGUGGGGAUGACGUCAAAUCAUCAUGCCCCUUAUGAUUUGGGCUACACACGUGCUACAAUGGACAAUACAAAGGGCAGCGAAACCGCGAGGUCAAGCAAAUCCCAUAAAGUUGUUCUCAGUUCGGAUUGUAGUCUGCAACUCGACUACAUGAAGCUGGAAUCGCUAGUAAUCGUAGAUCAGCAUGCUACGGUGAAUACGUUCCCGGGUCUUGUACACACCGCCCGUCACACCACGAGAGUUUGUAACACCCGAAGCCGGUGGAGUAACCUUUUAGGAGCUAGCCGUCGAAGGUGGGACAAAUGAUUGGGGUGAAGUCGUAACAAGGUAGCCGUAUCGGAAGGUGCGGCUGGAUCACCUCCUUUCUA